AUAAACUCUCUAUGUUUUAUAACUAAUGUAAAGAAUUAUGGACCAUUUGGGUCCGAGGAUGGUGGAAUACCAUUUUCAGUUGUGAUGAAAGAAGGUGGAGCUAUUGUAGGAUUUCACGGGCGUUGUGGAGCGUACCUUGAUGCUAUUGGUGUUUAUUUGCAGAAACUUACUCCUCCCACUUUAUCAAAGGAACCUGAAGCUAAAAUCAUUGAGCCAAAUGAACCUGUGGAUGAAGAAAUUGAAAUCCAUAACGUAUGUUCUGAUUAUUCCCUCGUUUGCUUAAGCACCUCUACUUCUUGAAUUUUCUUCACCUCAUACUUGCACACAAGCACAUAUCCCUUUCAUAAAACUAAUGACUUAAGUGACUCUUCUAACACCUUAAGGCAAUGGAACCUGAAGAUGAAACAAUUGAACCAAAUGAACCUAAGGUUGAAGAAAUAAUUGAAAUUCAUGACGUUUGUUGUGAUUAUUCGCUUGUUUGCUUAGUCGCCUCUACUUCCUUAAUUUUCUUCACACACUUGCACACAAGCCCAGAUCCCUUUCAUUAAACAAUUAAUUUGUGUUAAUCAUCUAACACCUUAUAUAGGGAUCAGGAUCAGCUGAUCACAGAAAGGGAAAAUAAAAAAAAAUGAAUGUAAUUUUCCAACAAUUGUACCUUGCCAUCUCUUCUUUUACAUGACUGUCUCUAUGUUCAUUCUGUUUUUUUUGGUCCGCUGCAAAAUAAUACUACCAAUAUAGGGAUAAAAUUUGAUAAUGGAGCCAUUGAUUUUGUUAGUUAUGUAUGUGAAGGAAAAUCAAGUGAGUUACGAUCUAGCAGACUCAAUAUUGGUGGGGCCAUGGGGAGGCAAUGCUGGUGGAUCAAAAUGGAAUUAUAAGUUGGAAAAUCCCAUUAAAGAAAUAUUGAUUGCUCACGGAGAUGUUAUAGACUCCAUCAUGUUCAGAACCGUUACUGAACAAGGUACUACUAAAGACUCACCAAAGUUUGGUGGGAAUGGAGGUGGAAUAAAUAAGGUAAGUCCAAAAAUAUUAUGGUCGACAUAUUUAAUUCUAAUGAUUGGAAUAUUCUUCUCAAGUAAAAUUUGUGUCAUGUCAUAGCAAUAAGCUUAAAUUAUGUUAAAAUAAUAAUUAAUUAUCAAGACAUUUGAACCAGCUAUAGCAGGUAAUUCAUUUAUUUUACGGUCUUCCAGUUACUUUACCGGACUCUUUGAUAUGAAAAAAUCACGUUAUUGGUCAAUUUAAUAUGAUAGUGUAGCAACUUUUUUGCAUUUAUGGUAUCACAAAGCAAAAUCUAUAGUUUGCCGGUUCCUUUGCAUUGAGAGGUUUUUAACUAAGUGUCCAAAUUUUCUUUAGGUCACCUAUUUUGAAUCCUAAUAUGAAAUUCUUGAACUUUUCUAAUUCUUUUCAAAAUUCCCGACUCAGCUACUUAAUUAACCGAUAUGUGAUUUGCAAUAAUCUCAGGUUAUUUUUGAGGAAAAUCCAUUGGAACAUUUAACGGGCAUCAAGGGUACAUUAGGACGUUUCAAUGGCCAUUUGGUUGUAAAAUCUCUAUGUUUUACGACUAAUGCAAAGAAUUAUGGACCAUUUGGGUCUGAGAAUGGUGGAACACUAUUUUCAGUUGUGAUUAAAGAAGGUGGAGCUAUUGUGGGAUUUCACGGGCAUUGUGGAGAGUACCUUGAUGCUAUUGGUAUUUAUUUGCAGAAACCUACUCCCCCUGCUUCGGCACAGAAACCUGAAGAUGAAGCAAU
rnacentral:lncRNA from 1 species